rnacentral:rRNA from 1 species
GAGUUUGAUCCUGGCUCAGAGCGAACGCUGGCGGCAGGCCUAAUACAUGCAAGUCGAGCGCACCUUCGGGUGAGCGGCGGACGGGUGAGUAACGCGUGGGAACGUGCCCUUUGGUACGGAACAACUGAGGGAAACUUCAGCUAAUACCGUAUGUGCCCUUCGGGGGAAAGAUUUAUCGCCAUUGGAGCGGCCCGCGUUGGAUUAGGUAGUUGGUGAGGUAAAGGCUCACCAAGCCUACGAUCCAUAGCUGGUCUGAGAGGAUGAUCAGCCACACUGGGACUGAGACACGGCCCAGACUCCUACGGGAGGCAGCAGUAGGGAAUCUUGCGCAAUGGGCGAAAGCCUGACGCAGCCAUGCCGCGUGAAUGAUGAAGGUCUUAGGAUUGUAAAAUUCUUUCACCGGGGAAGAUAAUGACGGUACCCGGAGAAGAAGCCCCGGCUAACUUCGUGCCAGCAGCCGCGGUAAUACGAAGGGGGCUAGCGUUGCUCGGAAUUACUGGGCGUAAAGGGCGCGUA